UUACGGAAGGCAGCAGUGGGGAAUAUUGCACAAUGGGCGAAAGCCUGAUGCAGCUAUGCCGCGUGUAUGAAGAAGGCCUUAGGGUUGUAAAGUACUUUCAUCGGGGAGGAAAAAACAAAACUAAUAAUUUUAUUUCUUGACGUUACCCGAAAAAGAAGCACCGGCUAACUCCGUGCCAGCAGCCGCGGUAAUACGGAGGGUGCUAGCGUUAAUCAGAAUUACUGGGCGUAAAGAGCACGUAGGUGGUUUUUUUAAGUCAGAUGUGAAAUCCCUGGGCUUAACCUAGGAACUGCAUUUUGAAACUGAAAUACUAGAGUAUCGUAGAGGGAGGUAGAAUUCUAGGUGUAGCGGUGAAAUGCGUAGAUAUCUGGAGGAAUACCUGUGGCGAAAGCGGCCUCCUAAACGAAUACUGACACUGAGGGUGCGAAAGCGUGGGGAGCAAACAGGGAUUAGAUACC
rnacentral:rRNA from 1 species